rnacentral:rRNA from 1 species
AGUGAACGCUGGCGGCAGGCCUAACACAUGCAAGUCGAGCGGCAGCGGGUCCUUCGGGAUGCCGGCGAGCGGCGGACGGGUGAGGAAUGCGUCGGAAUCUGCCUUUUUGUGGGGGAUAACGUAGGGAAACUUACGCUAAUACCGCAUACGACCUACGGGUGAAAGUGGGGGACCGCAAGGCCUCACGCAGAAACAUGAGACGACGCCGGAUUAGCUAGUUGGCGGGGUAAAGGCCCACCAAGGCGACGAUCCGUAGCUGGUCUGAGAGGAUGAUCAGCCACACUGGAACUGAGACACGGUCCAGACUCCUACGGGAGGCAGCAGUGGGGAAUAUUGGACAAUGGGCGCAAGCCUGAUCCAGUCGUGCCGCGUGUGUGAAGAAGGCCUUCGGGUUGUAAAGCACUUUUGUCCGGAAAGAAAUCCAAUCGAUUAAUACUCGGUUGGGAUGACGGUACCGGAAGAAUAAGCACCGGCUAACUUCGUGCCAGCAGCCGCGGUAAGAC